CUAACAAGGGACGUCCUGGGGACGUUCGGGGACGUCCCUGUUUGGUCCCCUAUAGGUUAUACCGUGACGUUAUCCUUAGGACGUCCUUAGGACGUUGUUUAGACGUUAUUUAAGUUCCUAAAAUGUCACAAUUAGUAAUUUAAUUUUAAACUUUCAGGGGACGUUCCAGGAACGUCCCUAGUUGGUUAUGAUAUGACAUUAUUUUAAAAACUUUCGGGGGACAUUCGGGACGUUCCAGCAACGUCCCUGGUUGGUUAAGAAAAUGACAUUAAAUUAAAAACUUUCGGGGGACAUUCGGGACGUUCCAGCAACGUCCCUGUUUGGUUAUGAAAUGACAUUAUAUUAAAAACUUUCGGGUGACAUUCGGGACGUUCCAGCAACGUCCCUGGUUGGUUAUGAAAUUACAUUAUGUUAGAAGUUUUCGAGGGACACUCGGACGUUCCAGAAACUUCCCUGGCUGCUCGUGACAUCUGACAUGACGUCUCGUGGACCUGCCUGGUUACUUGGUUGGGUCCCUAUCAACGCUCGUGAACCCUGUUGUAGAGUGAGACGUCGAGAGAGAGAGAGAGAGAGACAGCAAUUUUUUGAUCCCACAUCCAGCUAGUAAAAGUACCGUUUUAUAAUCAUUUUGUGUAAAUAUAUAUUUAACUUAAGUUUUAGUAUUGAUAGUUUAGUUAUUUAGUUGUUAUUGUGUUAUGUUAUAGUGUAGUUUAGUGUAUAGUGUUAUUAGUAUAGUGUAUAGUGUUAUAGUUGAAUAGUUUAGAUUAGUUUUUUGUGAAGGUGGGAAGGACAGACACCCGAAGGACAUCAUUUGAGGUAUUGAUUCCGGACGACCUGGUGGAGGACGAGGAGGAGGAGGAGGGGGAGGACGAAGUGGAGGAAUAGGAGGAGGAGGAGGGAGAGGAGUCAAUCCAGGCUUUAACCCAUAAAUAAAGAAUUUGUUUAUACUUUAAA